CAGCAAAACACGUUUUCUGAACCAAUUGACACGUUUUUUAACGGUGUCAUUUAGGUGUUGAAUAAAACCAACGUGUCAAACACGUUUGUGGAACGUUUUCUUUGACACGUUUGCAAAAACACCUUUUAAAAGCGUUCAAUACACGUUUAGGUUUAGUGUCAAAUGACACGUGAAAAUACCAACGCAUCUGACACGAAAUCUGAACGUACAAAUUUGGUGUCAAAAGACACGUUUCUUAAAACACUGAUCUGACACCAAAUUCGAACAUGCAGUUUUGGUGUCAAAAGAGACGUUUUUUAAAACACUGAUCUGACACGAAAUCUGAAAGUACAGAUUUGGUGUCAAAAGACACGUUUUUAAAACACUGAUCUGACACGAAAUCUGAACGUACAAAUUUGGUGUCAAAAGACACGUUUCUUAAAACACUGAUCUAGCACUGAAGAAGUUGUUUUUGUCUGAACUGGAUGCAGCUGUGCAGCUCGCGCUUGGCCGGUUGCUAGGCGACCGCUCUGAUUAACUGAAAAUUCACUUCUUUUGCCUGACCUGACAGACCUUCACCCUCUUGAUUUCACCGUAAACUUUUACUAUUUUAUCCUUCAUCUUUCAUAUUUUCACCUUCUUUGACUUUACCCGCAUCCUCUUUACUACCAACUAUCAACCCUCCUUUUGACAAUUUCUCUUUCUGGAUCUACAACGUGAAACUUCAAACGUGAAACUCCGGUGAAGCCAACGCAAGCGUCCUCUUCAACAUUGUCAACAGAAAGCCCAGACACAGACUGCACUCCAACCCAAGUGGCAGCUUGUUUUUAAAAAAUAAAUACAUGCAUUACACAUAUGCUUUUCUUCUUUUGCAUAACUAGGCUAACUAAGGCUAUAAUAAUAACAGUUGUAAUAAUGGUAAUGGCCUCAUAAAUGCUAUAGGAUAAAGCAUAGGCCAAAUUUUAAGCCCCUAACAGAAAAAGCAAGCCCAUAUGGCGCUGCGGCAGGUUUUAUUUUUGGUGUCAAAAAUAGGUGUUGAACACGUAAUAAAACCCAAAUGUACACCUUAUUUGUACGUCCGUGGACGUGUUUU